rnacentral:rRNA from 1 species
GACGAACGCUGGCGGCGUGCUUAACACAUGCAAGUCGAGCGGUAAGGCCCUCGGGUACGACGAGCGGCGAACGGGUGAGUAACACGUGGGUGGACCUGCCUCUAGCUCUGGGAUAAGCCUGGGAAACGUAGGGUCGUAAUACCGGAUAUGACUCCACGGCGCAUGUUGUGGGGUGGAAAGCCUUGUGUGGCUAGAGAUGGGCCCGGCGGCCGUAUCAGCUUGUUGGUGGGGUGAUGGCCUACCAAGGCGACGACGGGUAGCCGGCCUGAGAGGGCGACCGGCCGACACUGGGACUGAGACACGGCCCAGACUCCUACGGGAGGCAGCAGUGGGGAAUCUUGCGCAAUGGGCGAAAGCCUGACGCAGCGACGCCGCGUGAGGGAUGACGG